rnacentral:rRNA from 1 species
AGCAGCCGCGGUAAUUCCAGCUCCAAUAGCGUAUAUUAAAGUUGUUGCAGUUAAAAAGCUCGUAGUUGAAUUUCGGGAUCAAUUUAUUGGUCGUGCUAUUGUACGUACUGGUAUUAUUGAUUUCUACCUUCUGACGAACCAUGAUGUCAUUAAUUUGGUGUCUUGGGGAAUCAGACUGUUACUUUGAAAAAGUUAGAGUGUUUAAAGCAGGCUCACGCUUGAAUACAUUAGCAUGGAAUAACGAAAUAGGACGUUUGAUUCUAUUUUGUUGGUUUCUAGGAUCGACGUAAUGAUUAAUAGGGAUAGUUGGGGGCAUUAGUAUUCAAUUGUCAGAGGUGAAAUUCUUGGAUUUAUUGAAGACUAACUACUGCGAAAGCAUUUGCCAAGGAUGUUUUCAUUAAUCAAGAACGAAAGUUAGGGGAUCGAAGACGAUCAGAUACCGUCGUAGUCUUAACCAUAAACUAUGCCGACUAGGGAUCGGAUGAUGUUAAUUUUUAAUGA